UAACUCCUUUGUACGAAAAUGUCAUGUCGUGUAAGUUAGUAUGUUCUAUUCGAAUUGAAAUACAUUGUAAUGGUGUAAUUUUGCUUACUUCUCUUGUUGAAUAGUUAGCAAGUUUUAAUGGAAAUAGAAAAUAUUGGUUAUCUAGACAAAUGUGCUCUUGUUUUCAGUAUAUUUUUAUAACUCUUUUGUAAUGUCUUUGUUAUCAGAGUCCUUCAAAUUAGAAUAGUGAUGAUGAUCUUGUCAAUGCUGAGAUUUUCAUGCAUCAACAGCCACUACAUCUGGAUCAGAUUGAACAAGAAACAGACAGCAAGGGUUGUCAGAUCAGAAACAGAAUGACACACAAACACAAGAAACUUCACAGGCAUAUCAACAUGCAAUUUGAAGACGUGUGAUAAAAUACAGAGAGGUGAAGUCGUGUGUCUUUCCAGAUGCCCAAAUCAUUCCCCCUUAAAAGAUGAGCCUGAAGAGGAGAUUUGGGAAGAUGCUGUUUCAUAAGUCGCUUUGCCUGAUCACCUGUGGUCGGGAUGUCUGCUAACAAGAUGCCUUGCUGGUCUGGGCGAGUUUAAAGGCUUACACAGACAGUCCAGAGGUUCUGAAGUCCAUCUUGGAUCUCAUUGGACGAUUUAAGGUGUAGAAACAUCUCAGCAACCUCAAGAGAAAUUGGAGGCAACUGUGCUAAAUUGCAGAUGUUGUUGCAAAGGGUCUGAAUAUGUAUAAUAUUCUGUCAUCGUAUUAAGUACAGCAUGAGCCAGAAUGGAUGGGUGGUGGUGGCCAUAAGAAGACUGUCAACUAAACCAACAACAAAAUUCAUAUUUGCAGUUUUUCUUGAAUAAAGUUUUUCUAUUCGGAUGAAUAAAAUGACUUUUAAACAUGAUUUUGUUUCAUAUUUUAUGAUUUUAUUCUAUAUUUAGAAAAUUCCACUUCUGCACUACUAACUGGAAACCUAACUGUUUGAAAGAAUGUGUUUUAUCCAUUAAAAAAUAUUUUUAACAGCUGCUUUCAUGUUUAUUUGGAAAGAGUAGGCACCUGCCAUCUUAUUUGUC